ACGAACGCUGGCGGCGUGCUUAACACAUGCAAGUCGAACGGAAAGACCCUGCUUUUGUGGGGUGCUCGAGUGGCGAACGGGUGAGUAACACGUGAGUAACCUGCCCUUGACUUUGGGAUAACUUCAGGAAACUGGGGCUAAUACCGGAUAGGAGCUCCUGCUGCAUGGUGGGGGUUGGAAAGUUUCGGCGGUUGGGGAUGGACUCGCGGCUUAUCAGCUUGUUGGUGGGGUAGUGGCUUAUCAAGGCUUUGACGGGUAGCCGGCCUGAGAGGGUGACCGGCCACAUUGGGACUGAGAUACGGCCCAGACUCCUACGGGAGGCAGCAGUGGGGAAUAUUGCACAAUGGGCGGAAGCCUGAUGCAGCAACGCCGCGUGCGGGAUGACGGCCUUCGGGUUGUAAACCGCUUUCGCCUGUGACGAAGCGUGAGUGACGGUAAUGGGUAAAGAAGCACCGGCUAACUACGUG
rnacentral:rRNA from 1 species